AUUGAACGCUGGCGGCAUGCCUUACACAUGCAAGUCGAACGGCAGCACGGGAGCAAUCCUGGUGGCGAGUGGCGAACGGGUGAGUAAAGUAUCGGAACGUGCCCAGUCGUGGGGGAUAACGUAGCGAAAGUUACGCUAAUACCGCAUACGAUCUAUGGAUGAAAGCGGGGGAUCGCAAGACCUCGCGCGAUUGGAGCGGCCGAUAUCAGAUUAGGUAGUUGGUGGGGUAAAGGCUCACCAAGCCGACGAUCUGUAGCUGGUCUGAGAGGACGACCAGCCACACUGGGACUGAGAGACGGCCCAGACUCCUACGGGAGGCAGCAGUGGGGAAUUUUGGACAAUGGGCGAAAGCCUGAUCCAGCCAUGCCGCGUGCAGGAUGAAGGCCUUCGGGUUGUAAACUGCUUUUGUACGGAACGAAAAGACUCUUUCUAAUAAAGAGGGUCAUGACGGUACCGUAAGAAUAAGCACCGGCUAACUACGUGCCAGCAGCCGCCGCAG
rnacentral:rRNA from 1 species